rnacentral:rRNA from 1 species
CAAAUUUUAAAUCUACCUGGUUUCCAGGUCGAGUUGUAAUUUGAAGAAGUGUUUUUUACUUUCCGGGUUGGGUUAAAUCCUUUGGGAUAAGGUAUCAUGGAGGGUGAGAAUCCCGUGUAUACCAACCGCAGGAUUGUUUAAUAUACACUUUCUAAGAGUCGAGUUGUUUGGGAAUGCAGCUCUAAAUGGGUGGUAAAUUUCACCUAAUGCUAAAUAUAAGCGAGAGACCGAUAGCGAACAAGUACCGUGAGGGAAAGAUGAAAAGAACUUUGAAAAGAGAGUUAAAUAGUACGUGAAAUUGUUGAAAGGGAAACGGUUGAAGUCAGUCAUGCCGGCGGGAAUCAACUUAGGGGAAACUCUGAGUGCACUUCUUCGCUUGGCAGGUUAGCGUCGAUUUUGGAUGUCAUAAAAUGACUGGGGGAAGGUAGCUCUUUCGGGAGUGUUAAGCCCUURGUAGAUGUGAUGUCCGGGAUCGAGGAUUGCAACGGAUACCUUUUGGGCUAGCCGCCUAGUCUCUAAUACGAAGUUGGGUUAUGGACAGCACGCUGACUGUGAUCUGAUUUUCGGUUAAAAGAUUAG